AUUGAACGCUGGCGGCAGGCCUAACACAUGCAAGUCGGACGGUAGCACAGAGGAGCUUGCUCCUUGGGUGACGAGUGGCGGACGGGUGAGUAAUGUCUGGGGAUCUGCCCGAUAGAGGGGGAUAACCACUGGAAACGGUGGCUAAUACCGCAUAACGUCGCAAGACCAAAGAGGGGGACCUUCGGGCCUCUCACUAUCGGAUGAACCCAGAUGGGAUUAGCUAGUAGGCGGGGUAAUGGCCCACCUAGGCGACGAUCCCUAGCUGGUCUGAGAGGAUGACCAGCCACACUGGAACUGAGACACGGUCCAGACUCCUACGGGAGGCAGCAGUGGGGAAUAUUGCACAAUGGGCGCAAGCCUGAUGCAGCCAUGCCGCGUGUAUGAAGAAGGCCUUCGGGUUGUAAAGUACUUUCAGCGGGGAGGAAGGCGGUGAGGUUAAUAACCUCGCCGAUUGACGUUACCCGCAGAAGAAGCACCGGCUAACUCCGUGCCAGCAGCCGCAGUAACAC
rnacentral:rRNA from 1 species